GUAGGUGGGCAAGCGUUGUCCGGGAAUUAUUGGGGCGUAAAGCGCGCGCAGGGCGGUCCUUUAAGUCUGAUGUGAAAAGCCCACGGCUCAACCGUGGAGGGUCAUUGGAAACUGGGGGACUUGAGUACAGAAGAGGAAAGCGGAAUUCCAAGUGUAGCGGUGAAAUGCGUAGAGAUUUGGAGGAACACCAGUGGCGAAGGCGGCUUUCUGGUCUGUAACUGACGCUGAGGCGCGAAAGCGUGGGGAGCAAACAGGAUUAGAUACCCUGGUAGUCCACGCCGUAAACGAUGAGUGCUAAGUGUUAGGGGGUUUCCGCCCCUUAGUGCUGCAGCUAACGCAUUAAGCACUCCGCCUGGGGAGUACGGCCGCAAGGCUG
rnacentral:rRNA from 1 species